rnacentral:rRNA from 1 species
AUCAAGGACGACCAAAAUCAGAAACCUCCCCCCUCCCCCCAUAUCAACACAGCUUCUCGCGGUAGGCGUAUUCUCCUCUAUCUCUCGUUGCAGGAUCCCUAUCUUGAGCAGAUCGAUCACGACCCGCCCUCCCUCCUGAACCUCAUGGCUGGCCCCGCCGAUUCCAGCAUUCAGGUGAGCGCACAAGAGGCGUGUCUUGUUCGGCAACAGUGUCGGAGAAAGUAGAUCAAUCCCCACCCAUGAUUAAACACAUGGUAAAUACUAGUAUGACUUGAAGAUUUUGCCUCCUCCCCCUUGUUGGUUCAGAUAUAUCCCUUCUACGCUUCCUAAUUGCUCUUCUCUUGAGUGAAUUUGAUUGUGCACACCAAGUGUUUGAUAAAUGUCCCUUGUUAUUGGUUUAGAAUUUUGGGGGCCCUUCAGAUAGGGGGAGUUGCUUCGGAUUCUUCUUCUAUAAGAUUUAGCCGAACAUAACAGGUGGCUUAGAUCUGGUAACUGUUGGAGUGUCAGGUGUGGACGCUUGCAGUAUUUUAAUAUAGUUCUGCACCAUUGCUUCCUUGCAGAUAUGUCACAGAUAAGAAUUAGCGUUCUUGAAUCCAACAAAGAAUAUAUGAUGGAAGAACCGACCGAACAUCAAUUCUGCUGAAAAAGAUGUCGAAUCAUUUGAUGUCAAUGAAAGAACUACUAAUGAUGAAGAAGGCUUCACAGAUUGUGAUGAUGUUGACCUGGAUGAAAAUGAAGAUGCUGAAAUGCAUAAACAAAAGAGCGUUAGAAGAGGAAGCUGAAAUAUAUUUGGAACCUUCCAAAAGGGAAAAGGAUAAUGGUUCACUAUAAUGACCUAGAUCAGCCAAUUGGAAAAGAGGUCAACAUCUUCGGGACUUUCUUGGCCCGGUUGCAAGGAAUGGAUCAUUGUGUUGCUUCAGCUACAAGGAUCAGAGAUUUCUCAAAACUGAAAUAAACCUAAAAGCAAUAAUAGAUCAAGUAAAGAUUCAAAAGAUAAAUUGAUGAGUAUAUGGGUCUAUGGCAAGUAUACUGGAUGGUGUCGAUGUCAUGUUUCAUGAUGAUGAUGGAUGCUUUUAGUUUUAGUUAUGUUGUACGGAUGACGUUCCUGCUAAAUGUUGUUCCCAGGUUAAGUUUUAGUUAUGUUGUACAGAUGAUGUUCUUGCUGGAUGGUGUUCCUUAAGUUUUAGGUAAGUUGUAGGGAUGUUGAUGGAUUCUUUCAUUUUAAGUUUCACUCUGAGAUUAUGCAUCACAUUUGGAUGAUGUUACUAUCCACUAUUGUAAUCCAACAGCUUUAUCUAAUAUACGAUUUAUUCCUCUC